CAUUAUUAUUAUUAUUAUUAUAAAAUUGGAGCAAUACAGAGAAGAUUAGCAUGGCCCCCGCGCAAGGACGACACGCAAAUCUGUGAAGCGUUCCAUAUUUUU